rnacentral:rRNA from 1 species
AUUGAACGCUGGCGGCAGGCUUAACACAUGCAAGUCGAACGGUAACAUAAAGAAGCUUGCUUCUUUGAUGACGAGUGUCGGACGGGUGAGUAAUGCUUGGGAAUCUAGCUUAUGGAGGGGGAUAACUACGGGAAACUGUAGCUAAUACCGCGUAGUAUCGGAAGAUGAAAGUGUGGGACCUUCGGGCCACAUGCCAUAGGAUGAGCCCAAGUGGGAUUAGGUAGUUGGUGAAGUAAAGGCUCACCAAGCCGACGAUCUCUAGCUGGUCUGAGAGGAUGACCAGCCACACUGGGACUGAGACACGGCCCAGACUCCUACGGGAGGCAGCAGUGGGGAAUAUUGCGCAAUGGGGGCAACCCUGACGCAGCCCUGCCGCGUGAAUGAAGAAGGCCUUUCGGGUUGUA